CCCUUAGAUGUUCUGGGCCGCACGCGCGCUACACUGAUGCAUUCAACGAGCCUAUCCUUGACCGACAGGUCCGGGUAAUCUUUGAAUCUGCAUCGUGAUAGGGAUAGAUUAUUGCAAUUAUUAAUCUUGAACGAGGAAUUCCUAGUAAACGCAAAUCAUCAAUUUGCAUUGAUUACGUCCCUGCCCUUUGUACACACCGCCCGUCGCACCUACCGAUUGAAUGGUCCGGUGAAGCCUCGGGAUUGUGGCCAGUUCACUUUAUUGGGAGUUGGCUGUGAGAACUUGUCUAAACCUUAUCAUUUAGAGGAAGGUGAAGUCGUAACA
rnacentral:rRNA from 1 species